GAUGGCAGUGACGACUUGGUAUUAUUCAAGCUCAACAGACCAAAUUACAGGUCUUUCUCUUUGGGAUUGAUUUGUAUGCCGAUUUUCCCGCUGAACCGAGCCAUC
rnacentral:snoRNA from 1 species